rnacentral:lncRNA from 1 species
AUGUGUCCUCAGACUGCUACAAAACCAGAGCUGCAGAAAAAUGCAGCUGAUGCGACCGAUGCUGACUCAACUCCAGGGGAUGGAAACGCAAGCCAGAUUGAAGCCAGAGGACUUCAACGUCAGCAGAAAUGCCUUUUAAAGAAGAAACAGUUGUUGAAGCUGUGGCAGCAGGAAGGUGCCUUGUGGUGGAUAGAGAGGGUUUUGGUGCCCUGUGUGUUCUUGAGGAUAGUAUCUGAACUUUUUGCUGUGCAGCCCAACCUCUGUUUGGAGACUAACUUCCUAAGCUGACACUGUCUGAAAAGUUUGGGCUUGUGCCAUCAUUGCCUUUGCUUCAGGAACCAGAGUGAAGUAAGUGUAAAUGUGCCUGAGUGUUUAGUUGACUUGCCUUUUUUUUUUUUUUUUUAACUUGCAUCUCUGUAUUCCCAGCCCAACACUAUGGGUAAUUUGAGUGAAAAUGAACAGUGAACAUGGUGGCUCUUUGGAGAUGGAAGAUGAUGUGUUCCAGGAGCAUAAUUGCUAGACACAGGCUUGAGAUACAA